GUGUCAGCAGCCGCGGUAAUACGUAGGGUGCGAGCGUUAAUCGGAAUUACUGGGCGUAAAGCGUGCGCAGGCGGUUAUAUAAGUCAGAUGUGAAAUCCCCGGGCCCAACCUGGGACCUGCAUUUGAGACUGUAUAGCUAGAGUACGGUAGAGGGGGAUGGAAUUCCGCGUGUAGCAGUGAAAUGCGUAGAUAUGCGGAGGAACACCGAUGGCGAAGGCAAUCCCCUGGACCUGUACUGACGCUCAUGCACGAAAGCGUGGGGAGCAAACAGGAUUAGAUACCCUGGUCGUCCACGCCCUAAACGCUGUCAACUGGUUGUUGGGCAUUCACUUUCUCAGUACCGAAGCUAACGCGUGAAGUUGACCGCCUGGGGAGUACGGCCGCAAGGUUGAAACUCAAAUGAAUUGGCGG
rnacentral:rRNA from 1 species